GGCAGUCCCGGAGGGCCUAAGAAGCCGCACCGCCUCCUUCCGCCGCACGCGGUUCCAGCGCGAUGCCCAAAUCCAAGCGCGACAAGAAAGUUUCCUUAACGAAAACCACCAAGAAAGGCUUAGAACUGAAACAGAACCUGAUCGAAGAACUUCGGAAGUGUGUGGACACGUACAAGUACCUCUUCAUUUUCUCUGUGGCCAACAUGAGGAACAGCAAACUGAAGGACAUCCGGAAUGCCUGGAAACACAGCCGAAUGUUCUUUGGCAAGAACAAGGUGAUGAUGGUGGCCUUGGGUCGAAGCCCAUCUGAUGAAUACAAAGACAACCUGCACCAGGUCAGUAAGAAGUUGAGGGGUGAAGUUGGCCUCCUUUUUACCAACCGCACGAAAGAAGAAGUCAAUGAGUGGUUUACAAAAUACACGGAAAUGGACUUUGCUCGAGCUGGUAACAAAGCAACUUUUACCGUGAGCCUGGAUCCAGGGCCCCUGGAGCAGUUCCCCCACUCCAUGGAACCACAGCUGAGACAGCUGGGGCUGCCCACAGCCCUCAAGAAAGGUGUGGUGACCCUGCUGUCCGACUAUGAGGUGUGCAAGGAGGGUGAGGUGCUGACCCCAGAGCAGGCCCGUAUCCUGAAGCUUUUUGGAUACGAGAUGGCCGAAUUCAAGGUGACCAUCAAAUAUAUGUGGGAUGCACAGUCGAGCAGGUUCCAGCAGAUGGGCGAUGACGACUUGCCGGAGAGCGCACCUGAGUCCUCGGAAGACUCGGAGGAGGAGGAGGAAGACGACUGACUCAGACUCCGGACCUAAGACCUCCUGGCACGUUCUGGUCUCCCCAGGCCCACACAGGACUGCAGCAUGGCUCUGAGGGAGCAGCUAUUUAUUUUACUGUGGAGAAGGAUAAAGAGUGAUGGGAACUGACUUUAUUACCAUAAAGAAUAAAACUUAAAGCAGGGUGUCCCCCGUAGGUGGCAAGAGACUCUUAGAGAAAGGCCUUCAGCUGACCACAAAGAUUUUCUGGGAGCAGGCGGCAGAACUCAGUGGUGGAGCACCUGCCUAGCACGCCUGCGGCCCUAAGGUUCAUCCCCUUGCCUGGAGGAAGGAAAGCUUCACAGAGGCGAGAACAAGCUGACUACAGGCCUUUCCAGGUUCCCCACUCAAUACCGCAGGGUUCAGAGCACUUCUGGGGGUGUGAACACAGUUCCCGGGGGAGCCAUACCUCACUCUCUACAGCCCUUCACCUGUAUUCUUUCAAUCCCCUUUACGAUAAAGCGGUCAGGUGGUUGGUGUUUCCCUGAGUUCUGUGAGUUGCUUAAGCAAAUUAACAACUGAGGAAGGGAAUGUGGGAACCCUGAUUUGUAGUGGGACAGUCACACAGGUAAAGCAGGUCUGGGGAUUUAGCACAGUGGUGCUGCUGCCUGCCUCACAAGGACAAGGUUCUGAGUUCGAUCCCCAGUAUCCAAGGGAAAAAAAAAAAAAGCCAUAAAGAAAGCUUGCAAUUGGCAUCUGGAUGGGGGGUGGUCUUGGCUGAGGCAACUGGAGGAAAUGAAUCAGAUUUGGGACACCAGCAGAUGCUCGCUGCUGAUGAUGCUGAGGGCAGAGGGAAAGCUGGCGGUUUUUCUGAUACGGUGC